rnacentral:rRNA from 1 species
ACGGGGGGUGCAAGCGUUGUUCGGAAUCAUUGGGCGUAAAGAGCGUGUAGGCGGCUUGAUAAGUCAGAUGUGAAAGCCCUGGGCUUAACCCAGGAAGUGCAUUUGAUACUGUCUAGCUAGAGUAAGGGAGAGGAGAGCGGAAUUCCUGGUGUGGAGGUGUAAUUCGUAGAUAUCAGGAGGAACACCGGUGGCGAUGGCGGCUUUCUGGCCCUAUUCUGACGCUGAGCCGCGGGAGCGUGGGUAGCAAGCAG